rnacentral:rRNA from 1 species
GCGUGCGAUCAUACCAGCGUUAAUGCACCGGAUCCCAUCAGAACUCCGCAGUUAAGUGUGCUUGGGCUAGAGUAGUACUGGGAUGGGUGACCUCUCAGGAAGUUCUAGUGUUGCACCCU